UGUCCCUACAGAUUUCACAACAUAAACAUCGAUGACACGCGUCUCACAUCACAAAAAAUAUCGGUCUUCACUAACAAGCAAAACAAACAAAAUGUAAACAAUGCAAAUAAUUGAAGUGACGGGAAAUAUAUGGCGUUUUGGUGGCUAUUGGUGACCUAGCCAAGCACGCCCACCCAACCAAGGAUGCCCCGGAGGAUUCUGCGGAGGCAUCACCCAUGAUCAGCUGGUCCAAGUCACUCCUCGCGAUUAGGACAGCUCCAUCUCCCCCACAACGACAACUCACUCGUACAUUUCAGUCUUCAUGUACAUUUAAUAUCCACACCUCUACGACCAAACUUGGCCACCGUCUUCAAAUUUAAUCGGUCAAAGCGGAAGAUUACCUUCCUUUGGCAAAGGCUACAGGCGCCGCGGAAAUAAUGUUCCACCAGACAUGUAUUGGUGGAACUCGCAGUGGAACGAGGCGCAAAAAAAGGGCACACACUAGGUAUGUGUCGGGUCACCUAAUCCUGAGGAGCUCCUAGGGAAAAGAAGGGACAGGCCAAACGGCAACAACGAGGACAAGAAUUGAGGUUUUCGGGUCUAAGUCCGGAUAAAUUUACAGGUCAACAGCCACUCCUGGGCUAGGCGCCGGUGCCUCUCAACGCCGCGCGCACUGGCAGCCUGACGACCCCAAAGCAGGUGGGUCUUAAUAGCCCGGAACGGACUCACCGGUGAAUGUCGGAUGGCGUUGGCUGCGUCCGAGGAAGGCGAGUAGUGUUUGUCCAGAUCUCGUAGCUGGCUCGACCGAAGAUUUAAUUCCCUCCAAUUUAAAUCUCCAAUUUGAAUUUCCAGAUUUAAUUAGUCCAAUUUUAUAUGUCCAAUUAAGUCUUCUAAUUUGAACUUCCAAUUUAAUUUCCUCCAAUUUAAAUAUCCCGGGGCCCUUUGUAUUGGGACCCCGGUUGCCCUACGAAUAAUUAUUUAUAAAUAAAAUAAACUAUUAAACCUAACACAAAUUUCUCUAACACUCACUUUUUAUUAUAUUUCGGCACAAACACUAUUUUAACAUUUUUGUUCUGUCUGCUGGGACAAUAUGGCUGCGACUAUAUAAAAAUUUGCCUAUCAUGCCUAUAUCUCGCCAUAUUCCCUUCGCCUCUCUCGAAAUUGGGUCAUUGGACAUAUCAAGGCCAUCCUAGCCAUACCC